AUAUCUGAAAAUGUGGCACAAUAGUCCUAGCAUAAGAUUGAUCAGUUUUGAAAAUUAUUUUCAAAGUAAGUAAAUUAAUCUUUUAGAUCUGAAAAUUAAAAGAUUCGAAGGCUGGGAGGUUUUCUAAGAUUUAAGCAGAGUGCAUCUCCGAUCAGGGUUCAGAUUCGGGGCUUUAAAAGACCUUGUGGCAAACAGAGGCAUGGUGAGUUCAGCAUAACCUAAGCAGCAACCGCGAGCAGAGGCAGCAGCAGACCCU
rnacentral:lncRNA from 1 species